rnacentral:rRNA from 1 species
AUUGAACGCUGGCGGCAUGCUUUACACAUGCAAGUCGAACGGCAGCGCGGGCUUCGGCCUGGCGGCGAGUGGCGAACGGGUGAGUAAUACAUCGGAACGUGCCCAGUAGUGGGGGAUAGCUCGGCGAAAGCCGGAUUAAUACCGCAUACGACCUGAGGGUGAAAGCGGGGGAUCUUCGGACCUCGCGCUAUUGGAGCGGCCGAUGGCAGAUUAGCUAGUUGGUGGGGUAAAGGCCUACCAAGGCGACGAUCUGUAGCUGGUCUGAGAGGACGACCAGCCACACUGGGACUGAGACACGGCCCAGAUUCCUACGGGAGGCAGCAGUGGGGAAUUUUGGACAAUGGGCGAAAGCCUGAUCCAGCAAUGCCGCGUGUGUGAUGAAGGCCUUCGGGUUGUAAAGCACUUUUGGCGGGAACGAAAAGGACUGUGCCAAUACCACGGUUCGAUGACGGUACCCGCAGAAUAAGCACCGGCUAACUACGU